UAGGUUUCUGAGUUCAUCAGGUGUGCUCGUGCCUGAAAUUCUUUUCACAAGAAGCUAGUCAAAAAAAGGGGCACGCAGCUACGCGAUUCUAACUGCUCUUGGUUUUGUAACUCACUGCUCUUGGUUUUCUACGUGGGAGUUGGUCCGGAUAACAUAUCUUAACGAGGGAUAUAAAAGGGUGAAGGUCAAUGAAAUGGGGUCCUUAUAGGUAUCUGCCCAUGUUCAAUCACUGAAGUAAUGAAUCUAAACAAGAAAACGAAGUAGAAGUGAAAAGCUUUUUGAAUAUAUUUUUAUCUCUCUUUGCUUAGUUUUCCCCUUUAAUGUCCCUCUCCAUUAUUAUUCAUAGUAAUGUGCUCCUCGCUGAGCUUUAUGAUUUCCAUUGUCAUUCUUCCCUCUCCUCUCUGAUUGCUUUUCAUCGUCUCUUUGCAUUUACCCUAUUUUUGUGACUCUCCUCUCUUUCUUCUCCCCAUACCAUUAUUUUGAUCGUUUCUGAAUCUUGAGAUUGCUUCAAUGCAUGUGAUCCCUCUCCUCAGCCUUCCCCUCCUAAAUCUUAGAAUCCUAAUGCCGCAGGUGCUAUGUCGGAAAUCCAUUUUUUUAUCCCCAAGGAAAAUCAAAGAAGAAGAAAGCCCUGGUAUUCUCUACUUGAAUUCAGGAAGAUUCAGAUACCAAAAGCAAUAGGAAUGGGAAAGCGGAGCGGGCAAUAGGUUUAUGACUGAGCACUAGAGCCUGGAAUAGAAGGAAUGAAGGUUGGGAAAUAUGCCAUGCAGAAUUCCAAUAAGUUGGCACUGCUUUCCCUUUCCAUGUGAAAAAUGGAGAGGAAAAGCAUGGGUGGACCAAGUGUUUUAACCGGAAUCUAGUGACGGAGAAAGAAGAAAGAAUGGGAAGAAAGCAGCCAUGGGCAAGCUUUAAUGAAUAUAAAUAAGUAGGAGUUACAACCUUGAAAUUCUAGUGAAACAAGCCUUUGACGUAGUCACAAAUUCGACUGCCCUUUCACUAUUAUUAUUAUUUCGAGUAAUAGCGGAAGGAGUGCCAAAGCCCAUUUUAGUAGAAAGCUGCUGCCCUUUUAUAGUAAUUCGGAGUGACAUAAUCAAUCGAAUUUGACUGGUUGGUUCCCCUUAUUAGUCAAUUGCUUUUGACGUAUCACGUGGGAAUGGGAGAGCCUCUUUUCUUUCCGCAAUGGAAUCGGCUUAAGCUCGACCUUUUCUUUCAUUUCCUAUCAUAGGGAUAUAAAAAUAAAUCCAAUUGCGUUUUUCUUAGUUUAGAAUAUCAAAAGACAUCCCACAACCCAGUCUUAGGUUCAGAGUCGCUUUAUGGGAACUUCAAGAGAGAGAAGAGAGAUCAUAGCUUAAUAUCAAAGGUCAGGUAUACCUGCCUACGUUCGGCAUACACAUUCACUAGUUCCAUUUGGAACCUUUCUCUAGAUGGAAUCCUGAUUCGACUUUCAAAUGCAAGAGCAAGAAUGCCGUGAGGGAGCCCUAUCUACAAAAUGCAAGGCCAGAUGCCACUUUCUUUAAUCGAGCGGGCAAGGGAUCACAAACUUCUUUUCUUUUCAGAGAAAAGGUUUUCAAAAGAUAUCCCGAAGGGGUCUUAGGUAAGGUAAGGAGUGACAACUCUAUUCAAUAAGUUGGCUCUUUAAGGGAAGAUAGGGCAUCUCCUAAAAUGUGGAAGUUUGGUGCUUUAGAGAUAGGGCCGGCACGCUUUGCUGGAAAGCAAUAAGUCAACAAAAAAAGGUAGGUCUACCCCCUAAUAAAGAUUUCGCUCGACAACCCUGUAUCCAUUCUCGAUUAAAAAACGGAGAGUUAGGUUUAUUAUCUCCAGUUUGAUGCUAUCUUCUCCACGAAUUGGUUCUUAUGGAUCUCCUCCAGGUCCUAGGCAUCUUGUCUCUAGCUCUGCUCUCUAUCGGUACUAAAAUCAGUACUUUGUCUUUGCCUGUCUCUGUCCAUUCCUUCAACACUGAUGGACUCAGAGUGGCAUAACCCCUUUAAUAAGAAGCAUAAGACCUAAAGCGAGGAGAUAGAAUCGAAAGAAUGAUAGCAAGUUCUUUGAAAGUGGGAAGAAAGCCAAGGAUACGGUGGUGUGUAGGGUCUUUCAAAUCAAUCAGGAAAGCGCGAGCUAAGAAGGAACACGGCUUUCCGCGCCUUGACAAGUGGAUCUACCAAGAAUAGCUUUUUUAGCCGUUACUUAUUAUAUAAUAGCUCGAUCCGCUCACGCAUGUGAUUGAUUUCUCCCCUCUCUUUCGAAAAUCUUCCAUUCGAACAGGAAGAUUCCCUUCUCACUGUGUAUCCAGAACCUGAGGAUGAUGAGGAUCUAUAAAGGUUCUUUGAUCGAUCUCUCGCUUUGGCUUCUUUUGUUGCCGAAGACCAGGACCCGUCUUAUUUGCUGAAAACCUGUCUGUUUAGGGACUCUUUCCUUUCAAUGGACAUACUUGCCUGGAACUGAUUCUACCUUGAGAGCGCUUCCCUCUUUUCUGAUUCCUUCCCUUUGACCACAGAAAAUACAACUUCUAAUAGCCAUUUCUAUUUUUUAGAUGUUUCAAACAAGUGAUUUUACACUUUUAUCCUUCUUGUCUUUCCCCGAUAGAGGAGUUUGACCCUUCCACUUCUGCCUUUGCCCUUUGUACUUCUUCCCGCAAUUGAGAUCCCUGUUAAGGAAGAAUAUCUCGCUCGUGCUUUUUUGCGAGGAAAUCGCUCUACUUUUUCUAGCGAUGAGUGAUUGAGUAAGGUCUAAUUCAAUCUGUGUUAUGACCUACCUUUUUUGAUUGAAGUAAACGAGAGCUUUACUUCUUCUUUUCAAACCCUAAGGUUUGAGAUCGUCCUCAGGUCGGAUUCGGUCCUUUUCUCUCUUUUGAAAUUCCAUAGAUAUAGAUGUCUCGACUGCCGAAUCCGAAUCCUUAGAACAACUCGAUUCCGUUGAUUCACUGUCCAUUUGUCCUUCAACCGGAUUAAUGGUCAACGACUUUGACAUCCUUUCCUUCACACAAGGUUUUUAAUCCAUCUCCCCCGCUUAGGGCAGUAAGGGGAAGUAGCGAUAUUCUGAUUCCUUCGUGGGGAAUCAACGAAGGCAGCCGCUCCAGCAGCUUUAGUACUUAAGUUAACGCCCCGGCCCUUAUCCCGUGAUGAGAAGGUAGAUGUGGUAAGCCAACUCCUAUCCUUCUUGCGGAAAGGGCAUUCAAUGCCAUCUUCAUUCCCUUCCUUGCUUCGAGGAGCAGGUCGAAUAGUCAAAGAAGGCGAUGGCUAAUUCCAGGAAUAGAGUAGCAUUCUCAAGCACUACUCUCCGUUUUUUUCUAGUCCAUAUAAAACAGUCAAUCUACCAGCAGCAGAGGCUGUAGAUACAUGUCCACCACAUGUUUAUCUACUACCAUAAGCGGGAGCAGUUGCAGGUAAAGAGUGUUGUGAGGGCUUUCAUUUGCGCGUUAAGGGCAGUUUCUGUUAUAGCACUAGAAAUUUGUGCCGUUAGUCGAAUGCUCGGAAUCAAAGAAGACUAUUUCCUUCCUGGAACAAAAUGACAACCGCAAGAAUUCGGAAUAAGACAUGUUAAGUUUCUCCUCUUUCUGUCUAAUGACUACUACGACAUGCCUAGACUAUAACAUUCCUACGGAGUGUUGCCCAUAGAUUACGGAACAUUUGGCAUAUGUUGAUUGAGUCCCGGGUAUAGCUCCCUCACUCGCUCUACUUUGAAUCAUGAAUUAGCGUAUUAAAAGCGGCGAUCUUUCUCUAUUUCUUCCUCUUCCACCAAAACAAAAAAGUUGUUUUGGGGCGUCAGGCAAACUUAGUUCUUCGUUCCUCCGGUAAUUGGAUUGAUAUAUAAGGAUUGGGGUUGUCACCCGUAUGCUUCUUAUCUUUGGCUUCGAACAAGGGGAGUCCUUUCAAGCUUCAUCAAAUCCAUGGCACAAGGUCUGUUUUUCAUUAUAGAAUCGAGCAAGAAUCGGAUUGUGAAUUAGGAUUGUAUGCAAGAAGGGAUUCGGAAACAGGAAAGUGCCUUUGUAGAGCCGGUAAAGUCGAUGAUAUAUUCUUCAACAACCAUAUCUUCGUUCAAAACAAAGAUAUUCCUCUAGUAUUUUCUAUUAACUAAUAACAGAAGAAAAUAACGUUGGGGCGAACUUCUUUGAAAAUAGUUCUUCAUUAUUAUAUGUUUAGAUAUUCCAAUCCGGUUUUCUACAUAAUGGGUUAUGUCUUAAUAAUAAAUGACUUCUACUUUAAUACGAAAAGUGUUACAGUUUUUUUGUCUUUUCCCUUCUACAGGUCUUUUCCUUCCGAAGCAAGUCAAGGCUAUUCCUUGAACUCCGAAUAAGACAACAAAUGCCAUUAUUAGUACUGUCAACGCAAGACCAAACGAUGGUAUAGCAAUGAACAAAAGAAUGACACUUGGAAAUAUGGUCCGAAUAAUUUCGAUAGUAGUUCCAUGAACAAUCCUUUGUGGGAUUUGAUUAGUUUGCUCGUUGAAAUGCCAUAAAGCGCGAACCAACAUCCGUGUACGAAAACCAAAAUAAGAAUGAGGAAGAAAAAGAUAUCGUGAUGUAAGUCAAUGAUCAUGGGGACUAUGUCAAAGGAAAGGGACAGAACAGAAAGCUACCGAUGCAGCUGAUCGGUCUCCUCGAUUAUUCCCUCGAUCGGUCACUCCUCGUCAACCUUGUUAAAGGAAGUUCAACUAAACAACUGCACUAAAGGAAAAAGAUUCGGCAUCGCUCGAUCAAACAAAGGGAAAAAUCAUCAAGAAUCUGAUCUUGCUCUGAAUCAUCUACCAAGGGUUCGCUGUCAAUGCAAUUUGAGUUGGCCAACUCCGGUUCCUCUAAGUCAGAAGUUUCUCUAUUGGCAAGCUCUCAUUGACAUAAUCCGGUGUAGGUGUAGGGAGCUGACUCUCAUGUGGAUGAAGAAAUAUCUCCGUAGUGCUCAGGAUAGGCCGUGAGCCUCUUAUCUGCUUGGAUCAGGUAAUAGCUUCAUUUCUUUUCAGAAGCUCAAACACAGUGUUUUCCAAUAUAGAAGCGGAGUAGUUCUUGUGGAAUCUAGGCAUAGGGCUACUAGAAUCCAUCACUAAAAGAGGAGUUUUCUGAGCUCUAUCGACACAACGGGACUCUAGAUAUUGGCAACAAAAGGGCACUUACCCCUAAACUAGAUUACUCUUCUUCUUCCUAUGAUAAAGCGGGGGCUGAAAGGGACUCUUUAAAGUACUUCAACGUUAUCACUGGACGUUCGUGUCAAUCCAACUGGUGGAGGGAAAUCGGGAGAAUAAAGAAGUCUUGCACGAGGGCGGCCUCUUUCCAUGCCUCCAAAUCCAUUUGCCACACUUUCAGAUCUCGGAUAUACAAUGAUGAAUCCUGAUGAUCUACGAUCACAGAACGCGGUAAUAUGAAUGUCUCUCACGAGCCCCAAAGAGUCAAUCAAGUAUGCCUGCUUUGUUGGCACAGGGAAAGGUAGAACGACCUUCCGCCAUGUCAACCGCUCACUAGGCUUCUUGCUGCGGUGAAGUUGCUUCAUCACCCGGCUCAACAUCAGCCUCAUCCCCCCCCCCCAUUUUAAGCUUUGGUUAUAGUAUACUUUAGUUCCACUUCUUCACUGAUCUCUCCCGCUAUCUUCUUUCCCCACUCCUCAUCCAAGUGAGGAGCUACCCGAGAUCAUCGAAACCCACCACACAAACCCUAACUGGCAAAGCUGAUCUAUGAACACCAAGGGCGGGUAGAGGCGUCAGAUGACAAUUCAAGUAGGGGUCUGCCUCUUUCAAAGGGAAGCAAGAGUCUCAUAGGGAAGGAGAUCCUGCACACACCAAUCCCAAUCAGGAAGCGAGUCUUGUUGUCAAUGAAAGCAAUUUUUCUAUGUCACAUAUCUGCCUAUCUCGUGUUGUGAGCUAUAAAGUACCCACCAGGGGGGUGGACCAAGAAAGAGGCAGGCGAUUGGGUCCUUCCCAUCCUCUGUGAUGUCAGUCUCUUUGUCAUUCUUUCACCCUUGCUGAGUAGCAAAGUGAGCAUACUCAAGAUCCAAUUCAUCAAUCAUUUGAGUUGGUACGAACAUAGGAAUCCAGACUCCGCUUGAUUUGAUCUUCAGUUUUGACCUUCAUCAGUCUGGAAAAAGAAGAAGGACCCACUUAUUCCACUCGGAGAGACCAAACCAGGCAACAAAAAAAAGAAAACCUGAAGGAAGUUCUCUUUCCAUUCCAACUAAACUAAGUGAAAAAAAGGGGGAGAGCAAAACAAAAACACAGGAACAAAGAAACUAUGUCCAAACCAACGAGUCCUUUGGUCGACUCUAAAGAAUGUAUCGGGAGUUGGGAGUUAGCCGUCUCAUAGGAGUGAUAGGACCUUAAUAAGCGCCAUCCCGAGACUUGGACUCGAGGGAUGGUAAGAUCAAUAGGAGAAGGAGAUAUGAUACAAUUACUAUGAUCGGGAUACCUUAUAUGAGCCAUACUUAUCGAGGGAAUCAAUCGCGUGAGGGUGUUGUUGAUAGAGGGAGCUCUGGCCAGGAGAGGCUAGAGCGAGUGAUAGCAACGGAAAGGUAAGAUCAAGAAGGAAACAAGGCUUAAGAGGACCCUAAUGCACCAAUACUUUAGGCAUUCCAAGUUCCAAUACAUACUUAUCAUGGAAUGAAAUCCUAGAGGAGCAAGCAUAUCACUGAGAAUAGCUAGCUGAAAUCAAGGAUGCUAUCACAAUAUUCAAUGGAAUCGUUACAUCGGAAUAAGAUAGACCCGCUUCGAUGCUGUAUUCAGUAUGUCAGCUAGGAGCCAGAACUCACUAUGCCAUAGUCAUACAAUCAACCUGUGUAUUAACAGCAAUAUCUAGACAGGCAGGAUGGAUUAAUUAUAAUUAUGGCCAAGAUAAGGUGCUCAAAGGGGAAGCACUCUUCAUCAAGUAAUUACCCCUGGGGGCGGGUACUGCGAAAAGAAAGCAACGCAUAAGCUCUUGUUCCUGAUAUGGUUUGAAAGUAGUGCAAAGAAAAGCGGUACUUCGGUCGGAAAGAAAGCCGCUGGAGGGUUAGUGCUAAAAUCUUCUUGUUCGGAUGGUUGAGAGAAGGAGGUGUGUCCUGUGGAGGAUACACCGAUUGAUAGAGACGCCUCAAGGCCACCGGAGGGAGAAAUAGUGAUAGCAACGCUUACAAGGAAUGCUGGGAUAAGUUGGGAAGAAGGCAAAGAUACUGGCGACUAGAUCCUUGUGGAAGAUUGGAAGAUACCGAUAUCUCUAUUUCAAUUUGUUGAUUGAUGGUUUAAGGAAAGCUCCUUUCAACUUUGCUUCUUGUAAGCUUUGGUAUAAAUAUCUCACUUGCGGGAUCUAAUCUCAUUCUAUGGGAACAGCUUUCAUUUCUAUCUUUUGGCUUAAAGUGGUGAACAAAUCCUUUCUCUUCAGUUUUUGUGCUCCGCAUGGCCCCGGUCAAGAUGUGACUCAUCCUGUAUAUACAUAAUUAGGAGACCUCUCACGAACUUGUUAAAGAAAGGAGUACCAUUUGUGUGGACAAGCCAAAGCAAUCAUUUGAUGUUCUCAAGCAAGCUUUAAUUGAGGCCCCUGUGUUGGUUCUCCCUGAUUUCAAUAAAAGAUUUGUGCUAGAGACAGACGCCUGUGGGCAUUGGAGCUGUGAUAAGGGGUAGAAGUAUUCGUGUGGGGUGGGUUUCAAAGGGAAGGUUGCACAAUAGAUCGGAGAUCCUUUGAGGAAGACUGAAAUGACUAUACUUAUAGAAUGGUCCAUAUCGAACAGAUACGAUACUGGUUUACACAGAGAAUAUCGCCUAGCUCUAAAACGGCAGCACCCGAGUGCAACUUAGAGUAAGAAAGAACGAACUUCUGCUACCUUUUUACCGGGGCAUUGUUUUAACAACUUUAGCUGAUUGAUCUACGAAUGGAGGGAUUCAAGCUUAUUUUUGUUAACCGAGAUGCAAACAACUAACAAAUUGGAUUCGAAGCCACCUGUCGUAAUAGUACCUGCGGGUUCUUUCUGUGGAGCCUUCAAAUGCAAUAGCUAGCUGCCCAACGGCCAAUGCCAUAGGAAAAUCUCCAUUUUCCAACUUAUACAACUCUUUGGGGUCCAAAGAUACUCACCAUUGCAACUUAAUAAAUAGGACCGGUGGGAUCGCCUUCAACAGAUAUAUCGGUUUCACUGCUUUCGUACCCUUUGUUUUGGUCAUGUGGAUGACCCGCAGACCGUAGAUAAGAUGGAUACCCACGUACUGCCUUCAAUGAAGAGAGUUUUACCAAGGACCCUUAGACAGAUAGGGGGGACAGACAAGAGGUAUGCAACCUACUGAAUAUUAUCACCGAAUCGCUCACUGACAAAUACUUGGGGCUCCCCUCCCCGGUAGGAGUGGAUAGGAGCGUCUGCUUCCAACACUGAAUUGAGAGAGUUUGCACUCGGAUUAAUGGUUGCAAAGAGGAAGGGCUAAUUGGCUCCGCCAUGGAGACCGAAAUACGAGCUUCUUUCAUCACAUCAUUUUCCAACAGAGAAAAAAGAAGAACAUAAUAAACUUUCUGAAUGAAUCAAACGGCAACAGGAUCGAAGGUAAUGACCGGUUAGCAUCUCUGAUAUAUGGUUACUUUGAGGGACCUUUCACCUCAGAAGUCCUAGCUCCCGACCCUGGGCUACUGGGGAAAGUAAACAGGCGAGUAACUGAGGAAAUGAACGCAAAUCCUCAUUACAAAGGAUAGACUACUCGAUUUGAUGUUAAUUGGAAAAUAAUACUACUUCUGUCAAUCGUAUUUACUUUGCUUAAGUGAUAAUAGAUCUAUUUUGCGUGUCACUUUACCUUUUUCGUAGAUAGUCUGAGUUCGAGCUACUAUAGUCUCCCCCGUUGACCUUCUUUUUUACAUAGAAUCCUCAAUGAGUGGAAAGGACUCCCAGACUUGCUCCACAGUACUAUACCAUACAGAGCCACGCCCUUGUGAUAUGAUAAGAAGAAAAGGGGCCAGGCCGCCCUCUUUUCUUUUCCGCACCAAGCCUUCUUGUAAAAUCGGGUGUAUAGCUCAGUUGGUAGAGCAUUGGGCUUUUAACCUAAUGGUCGCAGGUUCAAGUCCUGCUAUACCCAAAACAAAAAAACACUCUUGUAUUCGUAAGGAUGCAUAGUAGCCUUCAAAGAGCACUCUUUGGCCUUGAGAAAAGCCCCUUUCUCAUCAACAUCUCAACCUCGCUCGUUGUUUGAGGUCAGUAUAAAGGAGAUCAGAUCUGCGUUGCAAACACUUCCAUUUUUAGCGUCUCAUCUUCUCUAGAGAAGCUCAAAUCGAACGGAUAGAGCAGAUGGUCCAACUAUAGAACUUCUUCUUUUUCAUUACUUCCAUGGUCGUGCCCCGUGGCACGGCAGCACCCGUACUAUUGAAAUGGUUCGUUAGUAGAUAUGUUCCCGCUGGUGCCUCUUCUUCCAAUGGUACUAUAAUUCCUAUUCCUAUCCCUUUAUUCCCUUUUUUGGUCUAUCUACAUUUAAGGAAAUUCAUAUGCUCCAUGGACAAAGCAAAAAGUGGAGUGUUGGUCAAAGCAAGCCGCCCUAUUCUAUUACCAAACAAAAUGGAGAGAAGCUAAUCCGCUAGAAAUGCUUUAUUUCGUUUCAUUCCCGUUCUUCAUUUCCUCAUUAUCGAAUCCAUGGGGGACUUGUCAUAUUUAUAAUCUUUCCGCGGUCUGCUCUGUUUACAAUUCUUUCGUACUCUCUUCUCUCUACCACGCGAUAGGUCAGCGAAGCGUGAGAGGGCGCUCCGAAGUAAAAGCCAAACACUUCGGCCUAAGGGGAAUGAGCAACAAAAUGAAAAGAUGAGGUGCCCCGGGCACCCCCAUAUAGAAAGAAGGGUCGGAGGUUUUGGGCCUGUAGCUUUCCCCGCCCCCCCCCCCUCGUCGAGUGGUGCUUGUUUGGGGGGGUGCCACCAGAAAGCAGGCUUGAAGCUCUCGCCUUACCAACGAGCCGACUGCUGAUGGCUGUUGGUCACGACUACUACAAAAAAGUGAAGAUGAAUCUUUCUAUUUCACAUGGAGGAGUGUGCAUAUUUAUGUUGGGUGUUCUUCUGUCGUGCAACCCGAUGGCUUAUGUGCGACUUGUGUCCCACACCUCCUAUUCUAUUUGUUCAGGGCGGGCGGCAUGAACUCUGAUUCGAUCCAGGUAUUCAAUCCCUCCGCUGAGAUGCUCAGUUGACUCCUUAACCUUGAUAGGAAGAUGGCUUAUUCCAAAAUUCGUGCAUAAGGGUAAGGAACUUUGGAUGAAUUUAUGCGAAUGGGUGUAAGCCUCGCUGCUCGGAAACACCCAGUGCUGACCACACUAAAAGACAUGAAAGUGCAGGUAAUGCCAGUGUGCGAAGUGGCGUUAAGCAUCCCUAGCGGUACGCAAAGAGAGGUCGUGAUGAUAUCAUCUACGUCCGUACCGCUCCUCGUGGAGUAGAUCCCGCAUCCAACCAACCCUUUUUUGACCAGGGAACGGGAGAAUUCCCACUACCGCUGGCAGGCUAGCCGGGCCGUGAGCGCGGUGGGAAUGGGCUUCCCAAAAAGUGAGCCCCGGCCCGGGUCAGCAUAGAAUGGGGGGACGGCCCUAAUGUUGUGUUGGCCGGGUUGCGGGCGGAUAAAAGCGGACGUGGGGAAUCGGGUCGGGGCACAGCGUAACUAAGAGAGCCAUUCCAUUUAGGGCGAGACGGGCACAAGUGGUCUGGUGUCCGAGCCAAUUGGUCAGACGACGACUACUGCACAUAUUAGAUUCCAUUAGCCGCCUAUCCCGGAAUGGACUGGGAUGGAAUUCCACGGGCGGCUGCUCCUGAACGAGCUGCUCAUGCUCAAACUGAUCAACAUAAAGUGGAAAGUGUAGUAGAGAUAUUACUCGCAGUAUGAGAAGGAAGAGAAGAUCUAACCUCUCUACUUGACACCUCUGAACCAACUACAUUCCUAGCUAAAAUAGGAAAGCUGAAAGUACUCAAGCUUCAAACUCCUUGCUAACAGCCCUACCGAUACAAGGAAUAAUGCUUCAAGGACUAUAUGACUAGCUCUUAUACGAGUUCCUGGUAAACCACUACUUGCGUACCUCAAUUAAUGCUUGCUUGAGAACAUCAAAGGAUUGCUUUGGCUUGUCCACACAAAUGGUACUCCUUUCUUUAACAAGUUCGUGAGAGGUCUCCUAAUUAUGUAUAUACAGCAUGAGUCACAUCUUGACCGGAGCCAUACGGAGCACAAAAAGUGAAGAGAGUCUUUUCCCUUCUACUCCUUUGGGAAGGGGGUUCAGGGGAAACCUUUUGUUCUUCCCUUGUUUUGUCUUUUCAGUAGCAAAGGAAAGCAAUCUACAUCUACAUGAUUCCAAGAUGGUAAAAGAUAUAAAGUCAAAGUUCUAUGGAACGCAUGGUGAACAACCUGCGGGAGCACGGUAAUCCCGACGAGUAGGAUCCAGAGGAACUCAGGCAGAAGUACUGCCUCCUUGAUUGGAUCACACAUGUCAAAUGGCUUUUCAGAGACCUAAAAAGACAAAGCCCACAGAACAGAUGAAGACCCAGAACCGAGGAGAACAGAACCAAUACCAAUCUCAGAGCGGACAAUCAAUCCCAGUUCCUAGUUUCCUUCAAGCAAUAGCCUGCAUGUUCCCGUUCUUCGUGUAGCAAACCUCCUAUAGUGGAUACGACUGAGAACGAGCUUGACUCCACUCACUGCAAAGGAAAAACUGAUUCUCCAAUUCCGUGGUUUGUUUUCCUUUCAUUCUACUUACCUUCUUUUUGCCGGAGUCAGGAGUUUGGCUGCGCCAAAGCAGAGGAACGGAGGGAAGCAGCCGCCGCUGCACGGGUCCUGCACAUUAUCAAAACCAGGCAAUGUAGUCAAUGAACAAAAGUUUCAUUUACCACUAGGGUUCUUCAUAUGCACAGUCAGCUCAGGUAACGUCCAUAGGUGUUAAUACAAAGCAAGAAUUGGAUUCUAAGUAUUGCCAUUUCAUGUUCAGAGUCUGAAGCACAUCAUUUGUGGGAAGCAGCGAGGAAGAAAAGCAUACCGUAUUGACGGUAGUGCAGAAUGAUCUCCGUCACGAUAUCGUACGUAUCUCCAGAGCACGAACGUAUGGUAUACAACCGAGUUGCCCGACAUCGGACAAAACAAACUUUCAAGCACCCUGUUCAUUUAGCCUCUUAAUCAAUGGAAAGAAAAUAGAGGUGUGCAGCAAACAAGAGCAAGCGACACUAAACUACAGUAGUGAUAAAUUGGCGGAACUUCGGCCGGAGCCAUCUGCAAGCCGCACCCCGCCCAACCCAGAAGUACUCUCCAUUUCGUUGUUGAAAAAGCAAAUAAAGAAUGUUCUGAGAUCCUGUCGAAAUCGUAAGCUGCCCGAAACCAAAUUGGAAGAAAUUUACAGGGAUCUUAACCUGGAAAAUGCGAGCGAGGAAAAAGCAGGUAAAAAAAACCAGGUCCUCGAGGGCAUUUCAAGGCGACGCCUUUAUUUUUUAAAUAACAUGAAGGAUAAACCCCAUGUCGACUUAAUUGUGAAAUCUCCAGCGAAAAGAACAGUCUCGCAGGAAGAUCCAAAUACUUACUAUAUGUGCGUUUAUGUAUCAACUCUUAUAUAGUCUAGUUUUCCCGCCCUAUCUAGAGAAGGAAUCAAUUCCCCUUUUUGAAUGUACAAAAAUUGGUAGAGCUCAGCAUGUCUGGAAGCACGGGAGAACGCUCUUCUGCUUAUAUUAUUACCAGUAUUAAUUGAAUAGAAUCCAUGGUCAAACCAACACGGAUUUAGGGAAAGAGAAAGAUCUAUAAUCAUCUUCCCUAAAAAGGAAGGAUCCUGAAACAAAUUCUCAUCGUUGAACACGAGAUGUUCCAGUAUCUCAUAGGUCGACCAACCACAUGUUCCGCUCUUGUUAAAGAAGCAUAUCGAUCAAGUGUCAAUUCGUCGGAUGAGACCUUUGCUUUCCUUCCACAGGUUAAUGAGCGCUAUAUUCGGGAAGUACAGGAUACCAGAGAAACUAGCGAGUAUUGGGGUGGGGGCACUACUUAAGACAGCUUUGCUUUGGACUUGCUCUACCUUCUAAAUUGAGAAAUGGCUAUCAUCACAUCGAGCUGCCUACUUCUUAUCCAUAGGAGGGAGUGAACCGUUAUGUUCCUGAAGUUAGUAUUGGAAACACAGGUAUCCAGAGCUAUUCUUUGAGCAGCAUCGACCUAAUUCCUAUGUUUUUCCGAAGAUCAUUCAGGGAAGAGAAGAAGACAUGGGAAAGAAGAGCACGAUUGUAAGUAGGCAUCAAUAGAUAGAUAUGAUUGGUCGACGAAGAUUGGCUUCUUGGGCCCCCGUAGGCCUAUGUUGCUAUGCUGCUAGAAAGAAAGGAAGAGUUCGAUGUCCAUCAGUUCAUGGUUUCGGAGAUUUCUUACUGACUUUCAUUCAUAUCUGAAAAGAUCAAGGGUGCCGAAGUCCUCAUUGAUCCAAAGAAAGAAGCUGACACAGGCAAGACCUGGAUGAUCGAGUUAUCAUAUUGACUUGGGUUAUGCCAACUUGUGUUGUGUUUCAUAAUCAGAGCUACUUGUCCUUGCGUUGCCCAAGAGAAGUCGUCUUCGCUAGGCUAUUUUUUGGUUGUCUAGCCAUGUGUGGGAGCGAAGAUAACUCCAAACACGUUCUGGUAGAUGAGGGGAGACUUGCUGUAUCCAUUUCCCUCUCUGGCCAAUGAUUUGAGGAGCUAGCAUCAGAUGGUCUAUCGUGGCCUUUUUAUUUAUAAAAACGUAUAAAAUGAAGCGUAGAUGAGACACUGUUUAGCGAGGAACAUGUGGAAGGCUUGGGCUAUCCUCGUACUCUUUGGAACUCAUUAUUAUUAUGCGGCAAUCAUAUCACUGUCUUUAUCGACUCCAUGCAAAACAUGUUCAUUGAAUUUGAGAGGCCUAAAAUGGCUAACAUUAUGAUCAAAACAACUAACAUGCCAAAACUGGUAAUAGGCCCGCGGAUCUCUCUGGUUAUCAAUGCUAUUUUAUUGUGUUCUGUAGCCUCGCUAACCACAGGCGUGGAUCCACAAGAAUAGAAGAAGCAACAAGAUCAUGCUUCCCUGCUUUAGGAGUUUCUUCCACCGGUGUGCCUAUAGGGAGAUAAUGACUCUCCUAAAACCCUUAUUUCCGGUUAAUUGUUAAUUGGAUCUACACUUUUGUUGGAUCCACAUCUUUGAAAGAAGAGUAGUUUGGCAUGGGCGGGCUAGAAAGACUUCGAGGAUAAAACCGAUCAAUCAACAGAUAAGGUCCUUUUGGGUGACUCUGGAUGGAGCAAAUCUAUAGCAUCAGCCAGUCUAGCACGUUCUAACCACUAUCGCUUUCGUCUUGUAAAAGUGUAAUAAAUGCGACUGUGAAUUAGGGCCAGUAGACUAGAACUAUAAAUUGACCUGGCGUCGACACGUAGCCGCUCACCAUUAUGGUUCUAUUGGUUCUCAUCGAAGUAUCUAAAUGGUUCUAUUGGGGUUCUCUUCGAGAUAUCCAAAUAUUAUUUGGAAUUUACCACCCAUGUGGAGCCUUGAAUGCGACUAUAAAUUGGAUCAGUCACACCGGGCGAUCACUCUCCUGGAGAGCUCUUAUGGCUCUCAUGUGAUAACUAACUCGCCUUUCUCAGAAUCUUCUGAAUCGGGAUCCGUGGUUGUGUAUGUUGGCAGUAGAACUUCUUCAUUGUAUUUGUGACUUGGCUCUGUGAAAGCUCCCGUUGACAUUCUAACACAUUGGCAUUCUAAUCUUUGAUUAUUUCUUAAGAAAUUCGACCCGGAAGGCUUUUUAGCUGAACAUAAGGAGUGGUGUGCGGACCCACAGGCAGUUACCAAUAUAUCAUUAGAUUAGUUAAUUCCCACGCGCCAAACAGGCGUCACCACACUGCCUCCCAAAGGCUUCUUUUAGGCUUCCCCGCCACAUCACACGCUUGCUUGCUUUUGCUAAUCCGAUCCAGAAAAAACAAACAUUCUCCCACGUGCUUCAGGCCUUGCAAUAGCAGUAGAUGCUACAGACGUGGUGUCAUUAUCCGUGAUUCCUCAAUCGAUCAGAAGAAAGGGAAUAUAACCUGCCCCUCAUUGUCCAGGUUUUCUUUGAACAACACCGGUCGGACAAGAAAAAAGGUUUUCACCAUCGUCUUUGCGCUUUGCUGGAACUAUGUAAGGUUUACGCUUGUGACUUCAUGAGAUAGUGAUUGUCAACAUCCCACACAACUCUCACUCUCACUCUGGCAAAAGGAAAUGAAUGUAUCUACUCCUUCAAACAGCAGGAAAGCAGACACGCAUCCUACCCGCAUCAAGGCCUCUGCCCUCUUGUAUCAUUAAUAAAGGGAAGAUGAUUUUAGCCGAGGUGAUCGGACUAACACUGAGUGCAUUUGUCCCGGCUAGGCUUAUUACGUUCUUAGUGUUCUAAAGUGGGACAGGUGCUAGCUCUAGUAACCAUUCUCCAUUGAUUGGAAAGGGCUUAGUUAGGCAUUUAUGAAACUAAGAAAGCAUCACUCUGGCUUAGAGUCACCAACCAUCGAACCAUCUCCAGGUCAGAGUCACCCACCAGGAAGGCAUAGAGGCAAGACAAAAAGUAAAGACAGCAGGAAUCGAACUUAGGAAUAGUAAAAUGAUGAUUCAAAGCGCUACCGGGAUGCAGCUCUUGUUCGAGGUAGGUUAGUAGCUCUAGCCAGAAGUAGAAAAGCAUUAGUUGGUGGUAGCCCUUAGGAACACGAGGAGGCUGAUGUAGUGAAACUGGAUGAGCAAUGACGAGGCCCUUUCACGCUAUCGCCCUGGAUUGUUCACCUAGUUCAGAGAACACUCAGGUUGCUUAGAAAGCGUAGCGUUAGGAGACACCAGGGUGUUAGCAUUCAAGAAUGAGAUCACACCAGUGGUACCAGAAGCUCCAAAGACUGUUGAAAACAAAGGGAGUGGACAGACAAAGAAGAGAAAGAAACAAGAACCUAGUCGUCGAGCCAGUACAAAGCCCUAAGUGAUCUGCUCUACAAGAGUAUAUUAACUCAUGUUCGGAGUAUGAACAGGGAAACCCGAUACCUACUACCUUAGAAGAAAGAAUUCUGGAAGAAAUGAAGAAGAGUUGUUCGACAGCGAUCCUGACCUAUCAAUUCAUGAAAUUGGAGUUUGAUGUUGUGUUCUAAACGAAAUCUUCAGAGAAAUGGAAGACAGGCAGAGUAUAGAUUAGUUCAUCUCUCCACUCAAUGAAUUCCACAUUCAUAUCCAAUCUCAUUUCAUUAGCAAAAGAUACCGCUACGCUCUAAAUUGCUCUAUUGACUUCGGAUAGACGUGAUCGAAACCAAUAUGCUUGGUUAGUUCAUGCUUGACUGGAUCAUUGGCAAUCUGAAUAGGAUUCAGAGUCUCCUGUACUGCCUUCAUUCACUGCCAAGCUCUAGUAAAUAUCUGAGUGAGUAAGUUAUGGAUCGUGGGAUUUUCCAUCUCCUGCUUACGGCAAUAUCUGCUUCUUUUUAGCUGAAGACAAGGUCCCCUCCUAUAAGGUAUUUUGUAGUUGGUGGGAGCGCUUUGGCGAGAGAAGUGAUAGCUAUGGCUUAACAAGCAUCAACUGUUCGCACAAGUGCUGGUAUCUUUAUGUGUCCCGUGAGAAAGAGAAAUAAGUGGAUGGUAUCGAUCGAGGCAAGUAAUAAAACAUGCUGGGAAAACUGGAACUGACGGAUGCAGAAAAGAAGGUACUCGUGAUGGACGAUCUUGACGAUGACAAUGGCACAUCUCAGUCGUCGGCUGUGUGUCAAGUCCAUCAAUUCCAAAGGAGUGGUUUGUUUGCUUCACUUCACUUUACGAUACUGUUCCAUUGCUUCUGUGCAGUAAGAAGUCGGCAAUGGGGAUUUCGGAUAGGUAGGUUCAGUCAACCCAAGAGAACUGUUGGGGUGAUGAGCUAAUGGGUAUAGAUAUUUUUUGCAGGUUGGAUACCGUUGAGGUCAGUGCAGGUAUAAGAAAGGCUGAGAGACGAGAAAACGGCUGUCCCGUGGCUAUCGAAUUAAGAAUGAUAACAGGACUUGUAGGUUCUCGUGCAAUUUUGGAUCAUGUGAAAAAACCAGGUCACUUGACUCAGUCUGUCACUUUCAAGCCGUUGCACAAGCACUUAUUAAAUUGAAAUAGGGGCAUCCAUUUUCGAGCUCUAUCGCACUUUCCACACCUGUUGUGUACAAUCAUCCAUACAUAAGUAUAACAAAAGAUUCGGAUCCGGAAACCAAAACAAGACAUAGUUGGAUAGGUUCCGUGCCCUGGUCCAGGGAUAUUGCUAGGACCAAUAAUAGGAAUAUCAUUUCAAUAGCGCUAGGAAGAAGCCCCGUGGGGCGUAGCAGUUGGUGGGGAAUAAAAAAGCGCUGGAAGAUAAAUUAUCAUGCGUAAAAGCCUGGAAACAUAAGCAGUUUUCUGAAUAGGAGUAGAUAUUUAGUCUUCACCUGAUAGGGGGUCAUAUUUACUAUGAAGACGAAUAUAUCGUACGCGUUUUGUAAGGAGCAACCAUUCAUACUGAAAAGAGUGAUUUGUUUUUGAAGUAUAUCAAAUUCAGAGGAAAAAGAUGGAAGAAUAUGACAAGAUUGUUGAUAGAUCCCCUCUACAUCGUAACCAAGAGGACCAAGUGCAAACCUCUGUCUCUUUUCCUCACCGGGUGGAAAGGUUAUUCUUUGCCAGUAGUGACCUCUGUAGGAAGAAUCGUAAAUGCCGGAGGACGCGUUCAACAUGAAUUGUCACUGUGGAAUGAAAUCACCUCUCGAAUCGAGCAAGAAAUGACUAUUUAUUUGAUAAUAGUGACUUAUCACAAAAACAACCAAGGGUCCAUCCAUCGAUUCACAGAUUGGCCUGACUCGUAAUUCACUUUUGACUCUGUGUUCGAUAGCCUGACCGUAGUGAUGUUAAUUGUGGUUACAUUCAUAAGUAGCUUGGUCCAUCUUUAUUCCAUUUCAUAUAUGUCUGAGGAUCCGCAUAGCCCUCGAUUUAUGUGUUAUUUAUCCAUUUUUACUUUUUUUAUGCUAAUGUUGGUGACUGGAGAUAACUUUCUUCAAUAAAGUAAAACGAACAGGCACUUUCACGCCAUUUUCACGUGAUGCACAUAUCCUAUUAUAAAAAAGUAGGACACAUAAUGGAGGUCAAGCUAUGUGAUCACCUAACACCUGAGAAGUGCAUUAGAAUCAGAUAGAGCACCAAUAUAUAAGGAUUUUUACAAGGCACCAGCUAAUAUAUUAAUGAUUAUAAACUAAUACUACAAUAAUAUAGUUCGUUAUUAAUUCCUUUUACACUAUAUUUAAGGCGAGUUUAUACUGAAAUUUAUACAAGUAUGACAAGCUAAUGAAUGAAUUAUAAAUAAUCUCCUUACCUCAGCUGAUAUAAUUUCCCGGUAAUUUUAGUAUUACCCCGCCGUUCUUGAAAACGCGUUCCCUGAGGUCGGACUCUUGCUGCUUGAUUCAAAACCAGAUUCAAUAGCAACAACAUAUUGAUGAUGGUGCCUGAACUACCUAUUCUAUUACCUUUUGGGAAGCCCCAAAGCCACAUCAAGCCCUAUGCUAUGGGUCAAGGUACUCUCGAGACCGUCUGGAUUGAAGACUAUCAAGCACCGUAGGUGGUACCAGCAUUCCCUGUCGAUAGGGCAUUCCAAUCUCUGGGUAGCUGCCCGCCCUACUUCAUUCCUAUCUCCUUUGGCGUCAGCCCCAUGUACCCCCUUAAACUAACCACUUGAAUUGAUCAGGAUUUGUUAGGUUGAGUGCAUUUUCUUCCAAAUCCAGUCAAUUUCAAGAAAAGUAUCGAAAAAUCCCGGGGUUAGGCACCUUUUUUCAGUGAAAUCUUGUUUUUUCCCGCAUUAAUUAGUUAUGGGAGAAUCCUUGCUUCCUCAAUGCUCUUGCCUUCGCGGUCCUAUUAAAAGAGACACAAGAGGUUUUAGCACUGGCAUCUUUGGAUCAAAAGAUCAUUGCAUCCUAGAACCAACACGACGACUUCUCCUUGCCCGAUUUGAAAUGGUGAUGAAUAUGAAAUCCAGGAAUAUAUAUGGACAGAUGAAUUACGCGUCAUGGAAUCCGGAUCAUUAAACAGGUAGUGUAGACAGUUGUCUAAUUGUGAUCUUCUUAUAUCCCCACGAACUGUUCAGCUUGAUAGACCCAAGGGGAAAUAGAAUCUCGAAAGGACCUUUCUUGUCCGUAGCCCCGUUGGAAUCGAGGGCUUGAUAUCUCAUUGGCAUGACUAAUUGAUGAGGCCAACUAAGUAGUACUCAUGAGGUCUUUGAUUUCUUGUUAGUCUAUAUCUUUCUCUUUAAUAGUAUGGUAUCCAGGUUCACCUAUUUUUUUCCGUUGUUGCUCUUCAGAAAACGCGUAUAGUAAGUAGUCUUCGUCGAUGGGACAAACGCUCCAGUGUAUGCGUUACGAGGCAACUAGCAUUUUGUCAUGGAAGUUCGUGAAAGAAUGUUCUUGUUUUUCGUUGGAAAAACCAACGCUGAUCUAAAACUAAGUCUUCCUUUCUCUUUUCGGGAGCAGAGUUGAAAAAGAUGGGAAAUUCCAAUGAUUCUUCGUUCAUUAUCAUGUCGAUUCCUCACAAUCACUCUUUGUGAUGCUGCGGAACCAUGGCAAUUAGGAUCUCAAGACGCAGCAACACCUAUGAUGCAAGGAAUCAUUGACUUACAUCACGAUAUCUUUUUCUUCCUCAUUCUUAUUUUGGUUUUCAUAUCACGGAUGUUGGUUCGCGCUUUAUGGCAUUUCAACGAGCAAACUAAUCCAAUCCCACAAAGGAUUGUUCAUGGAACUACUAUUGAAAUUAUUUGGACCAUAUUUCCAAGUGUCAUUCUUUUGUUCAUUGCUAUACCAUUGUUUGCUCUAUUAUACUCAAUGGACGGGGUAUUAGUAGAUCCAGCCAUUACUAUCAAAGCUAUUGGACAUCAAUGGUAUCGGAGUGCUUCAGUAGAGUCCCCACUCGCCAACCGCGAUGUCUUGGUUGAGAGGCCCCACCUACCCAUCUUCCCACAGUUUCACUGAGGUAGUACCAUCCCCAAUUCGCUAAUUCUUCUGUAGAUGUACUAAGAAAUUGUUUGAGUCCCUAAACCUGAGUAAGCCUUUCUAGAUGAUGCAUUUCCCUUCUUAUCUAUCAAUGUAUUCAUCUGAGGCCACAGGCAGGUAUAUAUCUACGAGUGGUUUAUAUAAAGGAGGGUCCUGAUAAGAAUGUUGUUCGGAAAAGGCGAAACAAGUUGUGUUGACUGAAGCUCAGAAUACAUUCUUGCACCACUCCUUUCGAACACACAUACCCUUUCUUCUCACAAAUGUGAAAUUCCGGAACUCUGUGUGUAAUUGUUGCAACAACGAUAGGGACUCUGCCGAGAGCUCCCCGGUAGGUUCUAGUCUCUCUUUAUACUGCGACUGGAGCAAGGCGUAAUGGGCUGUGUUGUAUGUUGAUCAAGGAGGUGCUGCAUUGGCUGUAGCUGCAAGAUUUCUUGAGACAGAAAUUAUGCCAUUAUUGCUUCUGUCAUUUAAAAGCUUGAGUCGGUUCUAUCUAGCUAAGUUAUUCAAUAAAGUAGAUCAAAGUGUGUGAUGCUUGUGAGUUUGGCAACUACUAUAUACGAUAUUUAUAGAAAAAGAAAUAAGGAAAAUAGGAGUAAGCGAGUAGGUCAACAAGAUUCUAAACGAAUACCACAAGUGACGAAACAGACGGUGAUGAAGAGAUAAGGGGCGAAGUUUGGUUCGCUAGCAGGUAUUUGUUUAGUCAUUCAGAUAGUGACUGGCGUUUUUUAGCUAUGCAUCACACACCUCAUGUGGAUCGGCUGUGAGAAUGAUUUCUCGUACGUAGUCUUUCCUAGGACCAUUCCAACUGGAUGCUCAGAGGUGGGUGGAGAAAAAGCUCAAAAGGCAUACUUCCUGCGCUUUUAGAGGAUCUAAAUCAGUCUUCACGCUUUCGCUUUUCAAAGCCCCUCGCAAUAAAUAUGUAAAUUCAUUUCGCAGAAAUUCAGAGAUUUCCGAUCUCUUCGAAAGAAAAUGAGUUCGAUCAGCAACACCGGUCUCCGCAGCACUAGGAUAAAUGUAAGACUAGAAUAUUAGGGCAACUGCUCGACACCCUUGGGGGUGCGGCUAUCUCAUUAUAUAUAAGUACCAAAGGGUACAAGUACAAGUACAACACGUAUACACAAGUCUACGUAUCCAUAUACAGUCUAACACCCUCCCUCAAUCUUAACUGUGGCCUGAAGUACAAACUAAGUUAAGAUUGCACCUGCAGCCUACAAACUAUGGUUGUGGAAGAGGCUUCGUAAAGAUGUCAGCAAGUUGAUCCUUUGAUGAUAUGAACUUGAUGCUAAGCAGCUUUUGUGCAACACGCUCUCGAACAAAGUGAUAGUCAACCUCAAUAUGUUUUGUUCGAGCAUGAAACACUGGGUUAGAUGAUAAGUAUGUAGCACCAAUGUUAUCACACCAAAGCACUGGAGAGUGAACUGAAGGAACUCGCAACUCCCUCAGCAAGGACUGAACCCAAAUGAUCUCAGCUGUCGCAUCAGCAACUGCUUUGUACUCGGCUUCUGUGCUGCUGCGAGACACCGUAGCCUGCUUGCGAGCAUUCCAGGCAAUCAAGUUGGGACCAAGAAACACUGCAUACCCCCCCNNNNNNNNNNNNNNNNNNNNNNNNNNNNNNNNNNNNNNNNNNNNNNNNNNNNNNNNNNNNNNNNNNNNNNNNNNNNNNNNNNNNNNNNNNNNNNNNNNNNNNNNNNNNGGAUCGCCGGUCAUUAGGACUACCAGCCCAGUCAGCAUCAGAGAAGGCCGAGAUCUCAUAAGACGGCGCACGCUGGAGAAGCAAACCAUGAGAUGCAGUGAGGCAUAUAUAUCGCAGAAUGCGCUUCACAGCAGAACAAUGGGAUGUCGUGGGCGCAUGAAGAAACUGACAGACACGAUUAACUGCAUAAGAGACAUCUGGUCUGGUGAUAGUAAGAUACUGCAGGCCUCCAACAAGACUGCGGUACUCAGUGGCAUCAUCAGAGGAGAGAGGGUCACCAUCAAAAGCAGACAACCGAACAGUGGCAGACAUAGGAGUAGCGACAGGUUUACACUGCAGCAUACCAGCACGACGCAACAAAUCCAGAGCGUAUUUCUUCUGAGUCAGAGUGACUCCAGCAGAAGACCGUGACACCUCCAGACCAAGGAAGAAGUGCAGAGCACCGAGAUCCUUAACAACAAAAUCACCACUCAAUGCAGCCACAAGGCGGUCUGCCGCAGCAUCUGAGGAACUGAUGAGAAUAAUAUCAUCAACAUAGACCAGUAAAUACAUCGUAACCUCAGGGCGUUGAAGAAGGAACAGUGAUGUGUCAGCAGUAGAAGGAAUGAACCCAAGUGCUCACAAAACCGAACCAAGACGUGCAUGCCAGGCACGGGUAGCCUGCUUAAGACCAUAGAGCGCCUUAAAAAGACGACAGAGAUGAUUAGGACAUGCAGGAUCCACAAACCCUGGUGGCUGACGCAUAUAAACCUCCUCCUCCAGAACUCCAUGCAAAAAAGCGUUCUGCACAUCAAGCUGACGGAGAAACCAUCCUCGAGUAACAGCAAGGGAUAGUAGCAGACGAAUGGCCGUAGGCUUGAUAACUGGACUGAACGUGUCUUCAUAGUCAAGACCAUACCUCUGUUUGAAGCCCUUAGCCACUAACCUUGCCUUGUAACGCUCAAUGGAGCCAUCAGCAUGCCGUUUAACUUUAAACACCCACUUAGAGUCAAUGAUAUUGACCCCAGACACUGGAGGAACAAGCUGCCAGGUGUCAUUCUUCAGCAAUGCUUGAAACUCAUGUUCCAUCGUGGCACGCCAGUGGGGAAUGCCUAGUGCAGCCUGAAAGUCGCGAGGCUCGGCAGUGGGAUCCGCAGCAGCAUGAGCCAUGCACGCGGCGAGCCACGCAACAGUCCCAUCGGUCCGGAUCUUAGGCUGAAAGACACCGGUCUGACUGCGCGUGCGAUGUCGAGGAGCAAUAGGUUGUGGUGACGACGCAGGGCAUGAUGCAGGCGACGAAGAAGGCGACCCCGAGUCGCCAGGGCUUGCACCGGAGCCACUGGGCGUCGGGGAGGCGGGCGGUGUGGCGCCCGACACGGCCACGUCGCCCAGGCCCACGCCGGAGCCGCUGAGUGCCGAAGAAGCAGACGAGCCUGGGGUGGCCGGCCCAUCGGGAGCCGAAGCCGGCCCAGGUGAGCCUGGCGUGGCUAGCCCAGGAGCAACCUCCUGCGAGGCCAUCUCGGGCAACUCCCACGAGGCGGGCGAGGACACCGCUCGCGGAGCGGGGUCGGGCGAUGCCCGUGAGGCAGCCGCGGGCGCAGCUCUUGCGGGUUGCAGUGUGCCGCCCGAUAUGCAUGCCCCAUGCACACGAUCGUCCUCCAGACGCGCCGGUGCUUGUUCUUCAAGGAGCUCGAGAUGAGCGCCACGGCCAACACCUGCAGCAUGGUUAGGGAGCAACACAGGAGCAUAUGCAACAUCCACAAAUUGAUCAGGCAGAGGUGUGGUAGAAGAAGCGUCUGGCAUAAGAGUGAUAGAGGUAUUCGGAAGUGCACGAAAGGGAAACACAUUCUCAUCAAAAACAACGUCACGAGAAAUGUAAACGCGAUUGGUGGGAACAUGUAGGCAUUUGUACCCUUUGUGAAGGGAACUAUACCCAAGAAAAACACACUUUUUCGACCGAAACUCUAGCUUAUGUUUAUUAUAUGGACGCAAAUGAGGCCAACAGGCACACCCGAAGACUUUGAGAAAGGUGUAGUCUGGGAUUUCAUUGAGCAAGAGUUCAAGUGGGGUUUUCAUAUUCAGUAGUCGUGAAGGAAGCCUAUUGAUCAAAAAACAGGCAGUGGAGAAAGCAUCACUCCAGAACCUAAACGGUACGGAGGCAUGAGCUAACAAAGUGAUGCCAGUUUCUACAAGGUGACGAUGCUUACGUUCGGCAGUCCCAUUCUGCUGAUGCGUAUGGGGGCAAGACACACGGUGUGUAAUCCCAAGCUUGUUAAAGAAUGAGUUGAGGUUGUGGUAUUCACCCCCCCCCCCAGUCGCUUUGGACAUGAAUAAUUUUCUGGCGAAGGAGACGCUCAACAUGUGCUUGAAACUAGAUAAACACAUCAAACACAUCAGAUUUUUUCUUAAUAAGAUAGAGCCAGGUAAACCGACUGUAAGCAUCAAUGAAACUGACAUAAUAAUUAUGGCCACUAACAGACGUUUGGGCAUGACCCCAUACAUCGGAAAAAAUGAGCUCAAGAGGAUGUUUCACAACAUGACUAGACUCUGAAAACGGGAGUUGGUGACUCUUGCCCUGCUGACAGGCAUCACAAAUAGUUUCAGCAGUUUUAUUUGACACAACUAGUAGCUCAUGACGAUGCAGCACAUGACGGACUAUGGGAGCGGCAGGAUGACCAAGUCGCGCGUGCCAAUGUGUAGGCGAGACACGAACACCACUGAACGCCUGAGAAGAAAACUGCAUGGGAGGUGCGGUUGGCGCGUCAAGUCCAUACAAGCCACGGCGAAGACGACCACUAAGCAGAACGGCCCUCGUGUCCCGAUCCUUGAUAAAGAAACGAAAAGGGUGAAAUUCAGCAAGGACAUUAUUGUCACGAGUAAGUUGUGGAACAGACAACAAACUACGCGAAGCGGUGGGAAUACGAAGGAUGUUAGACAAAUGCAGUUUUCGUGAAUUGUGUGCAAGAAGGGAUGCCUGACCAAUAUGGGAGAUGCGCAUACCUUCUCCGUUAGCGGUGUGCACCUGAUCAUGACUGCGAUAUGGCUCCUGGACCGGGAGCUUGCUCAUGUCGUUGGUCAGGUGGUUGGUAGCUCCCGUGUCCAUGUACCACGAGGGAUCAAUCGAGUAGGAUGGAGUGCGCCCGUGCUCAUCACCCACCACCGCAGCGGCCGCCUGUUUUUCAUUCCCCUUGCCAUUGUUGUCGAGGCCAAGGAAAUCUUUCUUGUAGUGGCGAUGACAGCGAGAAGCUACGUGGCGCUCAAUCCCACACAGCUGGCACGCCUGCUGAGCACCACAACUGGGGCAGCAAGCCACCGGCCGCGAUCCCCCUGUGAUGGACGGCGCGGCGCCUCGUGAGGGCUGAGAUGUGACCGCCGGCUUGGCAGGGAGCGAUGGCUUCUGCGAUUUGCCACGGGUUGCGGCGUUAGCAGAGGCAAAACUCGGAGUAGAUCAACGCGCUUUGAUGCGCUGUUCGCGACCAAGGAGCCGCGCAUACAGUUCCCGUGGCGGGAGAGGCGCCUCGCGCCCAUGGACGUUCUCAAUGAGAUUGUCAUAGUCAUCAUCGAGGCCAUUGAGCACAUGAGUGGUGAAGUCCUCAUCUCCAAGGGGCUGGCCAAUGGAGGCCAGUGUGUCUGCAAGUCCUGACAUCUUGUUGAAGUACUCCGUGAUGGUGAGUCCUCCAAGCUUGGUCUCCCCCAACUCAGUGCGGAUAGAGUGAGCACGCGCCUGAGACUGAGAGGCAAAACUGCUGUGAAGUGCAGACCAAGCCUCCCAGGAUGUCGUGGCAAAGAUGACAAGCGACGACACGCUCGAGGUCAGCGAGGACUGGAUGGCCGAAAGUAUCGCCUAGUCUUGGGCCACCCACACAUGAUGAGCCGGGUGAUACGGCGGCGGACACGGGAUAGAGCCAUCAACAUAGCCCUCCAAGUAGCGACUCCGUAGGAGAGGUAGCACCUGCGCCCGCCAGGAUAGGUAGUUGUCCGGUGUAAGCUUCACCGGAAGAAGAUGCGAGAAGUAGAACGGCGAUGGCGCCGGAGCAUAACCCGCAUGGGGACCCAUGUUCUGCCCAUCAUGGGGAGCGAGGGCCAAGGACGCCUCGUAGCCAGGACCGGAAGGGGCACCGACCGGACCAGGCGUGGCCACCGAAGACACGGCGGGCGCGGCAUCAUAGGUCGCGCCAUAGGGUGACGGCGCUAUCUGUGACGGCGGAGGCAUCGGCCAGGUAGAAGGCAUCGGUGGCGCGGCGCCGUAGGUUGGUGCAGGGGCGCUGUACCACGGAGCGUAGGUCGGGGUAGCGCCAUAGUAGGGCGGAGGGGCUCCGUAGGGUUGGGGAGCCGCCCCGUAGGCGGACGGUGCAGCGCCGCGAGAGGGUGGCGGCGCGAAGGCGAAGGUCGAGGGCGGGGCGCCACCAGUGGCGAUCGGCGGCUGGGGCAGGCUCGGCCCGCCCUGCUCCUGCCCGCCCUACCCGCCCUGCAGAUGGCUUUCGGCGGGCAGGGACGGCUGCCGCCAAGCCGUGGCGAGCGGGGGGGAUGCGAGGAAGGGCGACAAGGGAGCGACGGGCGCGCCAGCAGGUGAGGAAGCCGAGGCGAUGGCGGAGUGCGCGGAGGCCAUCGGGCUAGGCGGCGGCAGCGAUCGGCGGAGGCGGCAGCAGCAGCAAGGGGUGCAGCAGAAGACGGGAACCCUAGUCUGAUACCAUGUAAGACUAGAAUAUUAGGGCAACUGCUCGACACCCUUGGGGGGUGCGGCUAUCUCAUUAUAUAUAAGUACCAAAGGGUACAAGUACAAGUACAACACGUAUACACAAGUCUACGUAUCCAUAUACAGUCUAACAAUAAAGACCUUCUUUUUACCCAUAACCUUUCUCUACAACAUUGGAACCAAGAUCGGGCUUGGCAUAGUUACGAGGUUCCCGUUCUAUUUAACUAACACUAACUGAAGCUAACCAGAAGCUUUCUUGUCAUGCGACUCUUGGAUCGAAAAGAGGCUGUUGGACUGGACCACGGCUGAAACUGCCAGGCAUGGACUAAAAGCUUUUAUUAGGGAUUCCCGAGUCAAACGACUACCAUACAUAGCAUAGAGCUGGAAGCUGCACUAGUGUACAAAGAAGACUGGAUGUGAACACGGGCGGACAUUGGCUAUGUAUGGGGCACUCACUAAUCACUAUUAGCAGGAAACAACUAGCAGAAAGAAAGAUGAAUGCACUUUGACUCCUUGCUCUUCAGCACAUACUCACACGAGGGACUCUCAAAUCUCUAUUUCAGACCAUAAUCUUUCGAUCCCUUUACCGAAGUGAUUGAUAGAAGGGCUCCAAAAUCAUAGGGCUUCUUCUAUUUUUAGUGUGAACUCACUUCUAUUCUAUAUCAAGAUAGGGGCUUUAGUACUUGGCUGACCGCCCGGUGGAAGACCUGGUUCUACCACACAAGGGCAGCUUUCCUAGUCCAGGAUUAUUUUCCUCAUAUGUAAUUUCACCUCAAUGUGGAAAUGUCUGAUCUUAUUCCAAAAUAGAAGGACUUCAUGAAGGUCUGCCUUGUUUCAGGAAUAUAGGUACCGAAGUUCAAUAGAGGUAGGUACCAAGGAGAAGACGAGUCAGGGCCGAUUGACAAGACUAGCUAGGCUGACCUUCCAGCCAUACUCCAUCCAAUAUCGAACGGAAGUGCUAAAGGUUUCAUGUGAUGCUGACCUCAAUGAACCAGACCUCGAGAAUUCGUUCAUCCCUUUGCUCCGAGGAUUGGUCGAGUACUUGGCCACAUGCAUGAGUAGGCCUGUUGCCGGGAUGUCCCAUUAAAAAGGCAGGUCCCAUAUUUGAAAUACAAAAAUAAGAUCAGAUAGCGUUCAAGAGGUUUUUCUCCAUACAAGAAAUCCUUCACUCGCAGGGAAUUCAAAUAGAUGUGUUGAAGAUCAUCAAAGAAAGGAAAAAGACUGAAUUCGAUCCAUCUCCUCCCUUUUCUUUAAACCAAGAGCUACUCCUCCCUUUUCUUUUUUUAUGUAAUUUCAAUACGAUUUCGUUUGUGUUCAUGUUUUCAAUUUAGAACCCCACGGAAGUGAAUAGAAAAAAGCAAAAUACCCCUGUGAUACGCCUUCCUUUACCUAUUUCUAGAUUGAUUGAUGUUCAAUGGAGGGAAACUUGCCAUUCCUUCUUUCCUUUGAAAUUGUACAUUUUUUUUAUUAUGAACUAAUUGUAUCCUUUUUGUUCCCAUCGAGCUUUCUUGCCUUGUGACUAAGGAUUUUCACACUUGUUGUGUCUAUAAAAGAUUUUCUCAUAAAACACUAACAGAAGUGUUAGAGGGAUUCACUUUCUAUAAGAAUCCAAAAGCAAGUUCCUUAUACUACCUUCUUUCCCUCCUUUGUUUCUGUCUUUAAGAGGCAGUGCAUCUGGUAGGAAUCGAACCUACUUUUUGACCCAUUUUGCCUUUCUAGGUUGGUGGGCGCUUUCACCAUUCAGCCAUGGAUGCUUUAGCGAGUGAACUAGGUUUUUAUUUGAGAGAGAACUAGGUUUUUAGUGGUAUUCCUUCUUGAGCUUCUAUUUCUUCCGUUAAGGGAGAUUCGGGAAAAGAUGGAAUAGGAAGACGUGUUUCCAGAACGAACAAGAUACGGGUAGAGAAGGGGAAGUUAGCAAAGUUAGACAAGAUUGGAAUGGGCAUAGGAACAUGUAUUGAUGUACCAGAUCAGCUAAUGCUCCCAGGUUGAUGCGAUGUAUUCCACCAGUUGACUGGAGACUUUUUUUUGAUUCAGAUUAACUCAUAACUAUAAGAAGAGUGUGGGAUGGAGGAAUGGAUUACGGAAGGAGACAGAUUCCUUAUAAAAUGGAUUAAGGUGGGUUUCGGAGAUUCUACUGAGUUCGUGGACAUAUUAGAUUAGAUACUUACUACCUACACUUGCUUUUUUUUGAUUCAGGGGAAAAGUUUGGUUAGUUGAUCAACUACGAGUAGCCAAAAGCGGCUAUUAGGAUUAUGGAUCUGAUUUAGACACUUCUCAAUCCAUCGCGUUCGCAGGUCUAGUUCGAUACCAUCCAGAUCCCACUCAAAGAUGGAGCGUUUGUUGUCAGUUUGUUCUUCCAGGGUCGAAAAACGUUGACCAUUUAUCAUAUCCUUCUUGUACAGUCAUCCACAUAACUCUGGUCAUAGGACCUAGUCAUAAGUUUCUACUCUAAGUCCAUCUACUUCUAUUUCUCAUACUGAACAGAACCAUAGAUUUAUUCUUGUGUAAACUGCGUACGUGAUCUAAUUAUAAGUGUAAUAAACUCUGUACGUGAUCUAGUUAUAUAUGAUAAUAGUGGUUAGCGGUGGCGCCAUGGGCGAGUAGAGGAAAGAGAGUGCUACUUUGACAUUUUCAUUAACAAUAUAUCAUAAUAAGCUUUGCUGAGGCAUCCCAACCUGUAAGGUGUUCCCUAGUGAACUGAAUUUCUAGGAACAUCAAUAGAAAAAUGACUGUGCACUCUAAUUUGGUAGAUAAAUAUAUUACAACAUUGUUUAGCUGUCUAUACUGUGACUCUGCAUUCAAAUAGGGGUCAAAAUGCUUGGUGUCCAACCAGAUAUCCAAAGGGAAUAGUCAGUAUUAGUUUACCAUUUUCUAGUACAUAUUUCUAAACCAAUUGCAUCUCUGCUAACUCUGAAAUUACUUGAAUCAGUAUUGCUAUGAGAUCCCCUCUCCAGUACUGCAUGUUCCCUUGCCACUCCAGUUGGUUUACUCCCAGAGACAUGAUUAGUACCACCAGAGCUUGAAUCAAUCAUUCCAUCCCCAACUCCUACAUCAGAAACAACAGUGAGAAAAAACUCUUCCAUUCUAUCUAUGGUAGAUAAAGGAGCUUCAAAGCCGUAGCCAUCCUCAUGGCCUUUUCACCCUACAGCCGUUGCACUUUUUUUAUUAAAUGAAAUAGUUCAUUUUCUCGCUCUUAACUCGAAAGUACUAACUAAAUAGGGCCACCGAGAAAUAAAGAAGUGUGGGGGAGAAGCAGCCAAGCUCAUUCCCUUCCAUUCCUGCUCUAUAGUAGGGGUUAUGUCCCCCUUUCCUAGUAAGAGCAAUACGCAAUGCUGCUACGAAUAGAGAUAGUGCCCUAUCCACUACAAAACGGUACUCUGCUUCAACCACACGGUAUGGAUCCCUCAUUUCAAACCAAGCUGUAGACCGAGUAGGAAACAACUAAAGGUUCCGGUCCAAAGGUAAGAAGAUCCGUUGGUUGGAAAUCCGUAUCAAUUGUUACUGGUUCUCCCUUUCUUGGUACUGUGUCAUGUGACUCUAAAGCCCCAACUAGGCUAGAUCGAGAUCUUGGUCCUUGCUAGGCUUAUUCGCGUAAAUAACCCCCAUGUCUUAGGUGUUCUCGGGGGUAAGCGAGUCAGUACAAUCGGUUGCACAACCGUCCAGUCCAUAUCAUAAUUGUCAUAAUCAAUCAUAUCAGUAGGUGGCAUACUUGCCUGCUCAAGUCCAUCUACUAUGGAUGUGGGCUUGGACCAAGCCAUCCCCAAACACUGAACCGGAUCUUGAAAAUGGGACUGAACUGAAUCCGACUUCUUGGUAGCCCAGUGGCUUUUGGUCCCCAUCGGAAAGUGCUGAAUGGAUUGCUCCUUGCCCAGUGACAAAAAGAAAGAAAUUUAGGAGAGGAUUGAUAGGUUUAAGCAUUCAGGGCUGGUCGCUCUUAUGGAUACCUGUGAGCUAGAGUCGGGAAUCGAAAAGGAGACAACGGAAGCCGUACAGAUCUAGUUGGGAAUGUUGUUCAUGCAGUGGAGAGCGUAAAUGACCGGCCCUUGAGGCGCGAGUAGACUUAUCAUAUAGAAAGGAAAGAGAUAAGCGGAGGGAGGAUGGUUUGAUGAUAGCCAAGAUCUCCAUCUCAUUUGUCACUCUCGUAUUCUUAAUAGGAAUCGGCAAGCAGAUACAACCACUAGGCCAUUGCCAUUCGACUAGUCUAUCAGAGUAUCCUACGAAGUCAGGUCCAGUAGGCGCAGGAUGUGCUAAGCCAUUCGAUCUUCCUGCUGGUGGUCCACCAUAGAGCUCCUAUGUAACCGUUUGUUUUCUCGCUUAACUAAUUUGUAUGAGGCGAUACAGCUGAGAUGAGCCAACGGUUCGAGCACUUAGCACAAUGUGCCACUUAACCGGACGAGCGCGAGACCGGGUCUACCUACCUUAUGACAUUUAUGAAAAACGAACGUUCUAUUAAGGGGUUUCCGUCAACAAAGUAACGUUGUGCAAGCUCAUCUGAUCCCUGUUUGGGACUUCUUCUUCAUGUCACGAGCCGGAAUCGAACCGGCGCUUUCCAGAUGCAUGGUCCGGAUAGAUACCUAUCAGAUCACGACUUUGAUUUCUCAUUUCAAGAGGAGACCUCCCUACAUCUGCGGCUGGCGGUCCUGCCGGCCAGCCGACACAAAAUCCAAUUCGAGUUUUCAAUACGGAGCCUGAAAUGGCUUGCUAUUUAUGAUGACGAAGAGCUGGUACAAGCCACCUUCAGGAAUGACCCUGCGAUGAAAGCAAUCUACAUCUACAUGAUUCCAAGAUGGUAAAAGAUAUAAAGUCAAAGUGCUAUGGAACGCAUGGUGAACAACCUACGGGAGCACGGUAAUCCCGACGAGUAGGAUCCAAAGGAACUCAGGCAGAAGUACUGCCUCCUUGAUUGGAUCGCACAUGUCAACUGGCUUUUCAGAGACCUAAAAAGACGAAGCCCCUCUCCUCCCUCUGUAACUAGAGAGGUAGGCAAACCUGAGUUUAGAGCCACCUCGAUUCGGGAUGUCAAAACACCAACCAGAUCGGAAACCUCAUCCUAAACUUACUUCGGAAUAGGUUCGAGAGCUUCCAUUUCAAUGUGUGUUUCCAAAAAUCUUUGGUAUGCCUUUUCCUGGUCAAAAGGUUUGUUUGGGAAAGCUUCUAAAUCUAGGGUUCAAUGUCUCCGAAAAACCCCCUGGGGCAGGAUAGUAAAGAGCUGAUUCUAGGGAAAGCUAGGAUUUCACUUUUCUCUCAGCCAUCGAGUUGGAGUAGUUAACCUUCUAUAUGCACAAAUAUAUUAGGGACCAGCUAAUUGUGAACAGCCCCCUUAAUAUUGCUAGGCUUUGAAAUAAUAGGUUUAGAGGGUUGUUGAUUGUUCUUCAAUCUAAGGUAUUAGACUACCUAUUAAAGGGUCAUCGAAAUGACACUAAAGACUAAAGCUAGAACAUCUAUAGUGACAGGCGAGGGCGAAUCGUAACUAGAAGAAGGCCUCUGAACUGCUUCAAAUCAAGAAAUUGUGGGGAGCUUUUGGUCAAGUCUUGGAAGGGACUCCCAUCCCAGAGUGUGAAAGCUCUCAGGGGAAGGGAAUCGAUAGCACAACUGGAGCUGCCCUUUCUUUGGUUUAGUAAGAAGCUUCCUGAAAUAUGUCGAUUUGUAGUACGGUCAGUUCACUCGAAUCCACUGACUUCAUGCACGGGGACUCGACCAUCAAUCCUUUCUUGUGACGAGUUGUGACUGGGUGCUCUGAAACCUCCUUAAAAGGAGGGGCGGUGGGGUAAGGUAAUUGAAGUAACUAGCCAGUAUUAAGAUUAGGCAUAAGCAUAAUAAACUAAUGCAUCCGAAGACGGUGAAUCUAGAAUAGAGGCCGGGUGGGGAAGCAAAAUAUGCAAGAGAGCCUUUUUCCGGGAAGGAAGGGACUGCCGAGAACAAUGUCCUUUCUCGUGCCUAAUGCCUAAUGCCUAAGCGGGAGCGCCCCUCUAUCUGCUACUUUACACUACUCCUUGAACGUGUCCUCUCGGCUCUCCUCAAAACUAUUCCGAAGUUUUGAAUUCCAUUUCUAUGGAUAGGAUUAUGUCAUAUAGUUUAUAUAUAGUUAUGUAAAAUUAUAAUAUUUAUCUAAUUAUUAUCAGGAAUAUCCUUGAGGCGGAAAGCUCCAGGUUUAUAAAAUCAGUGAUUUAUCAAUAGGUUGUACUUUUAUGCACUGCUCUCAGGAGAAAGUAAACCUAAAAAAUUAAUAUCUGUAAUAGGUUAUUUUCUGUUUUGAGCUUUGAUAAAUGUGGGGUAGUCUAUUUGGACAUUUCUCGCGGAAUGCUAUUAAUGUUGGGAAAAAACACAGCUCUCAAACUCACCCUCCGGGUGAUUGGUAGAAGCAUUAGUACCUAACGGAGCGGUAUCUAACCAAAAAGGGAGGUGAUGUUCUUUUUAGAAACAGGAUGGAGCAUGGCUUCCUUUCUUCUUAGAUACAUUUCAUUCAUUCCAUUUCUCUAUAGUUUACACCAGAACAUCUUGCUAAUCCUGACAGAUCUCAAAAAGGGUGGGGGCACUAGAACCAAAUCUACAUACACAUCGAAACUUCCUAUCUCAGCCAAGCUAGCACCUUCAUCCCACCAAUGCAUUGUACGACUCUCCACCCCCUUUUCCUCCCUCAUGAAAUCCUAAUUUCCCGCAAUAAAAUUCGAUUUCGUUCAUGUCGGCGGUUGGCAAAACAGCCCUGAGAUUCGGGACUGGUAAAACAUGGGUGCCCAAUUUGCUUCUCCUUGCUCCACCUUAGUGCCCUUAUGAAGGCGGCGAGGAGUCCUUAGCCUUUGAACCAAACUCUAGGGAACUCUGAAUUUCCUGACGUCUCAAUUACAAUGGUGAACUCAGUGACAUACACUGAAAUGGAUUGCAUUUAUUGUUCCAAACAAGGCUGAUAUUAGCAUAAAAGCCCUUCCAUGCAAUUUCUUGCUUCACUCUACAGACGAAAGUGCCGGAUAGUCAAUGGUAACCAGAAGAUCUAUGGUUUUCGAGAGAAUGUAAUUGGAAAAAUGAUUCAUUCCUUUGCUUUCUUUCAGAUAUCUAUUCAAUAAGAUGAUCUGACCUUACCUGAAAACUAGAUUCAUGAAGAAGCCCAAAAAGUGUUGGGCUUAGUGCAGCCCAGUUCCUAGCCAGUGUGGGGUUCUGCCAUGGAUAUUCGGUCCAGAUGACCCUACCCUUCCAGAAUAGUAGAAUUACAUUCAUCGUUCCAGCUGUAAACACAGUUUCUAGUUUGGCUGAAUGAGAGUCAUGCAAUAGGCAUCAGUAGGGAGUGCGAAAGCAAGAGCUAAGUGAUCGGACUAACACAGAGUGCAUUUCUCCCGGGUAAGCUUAUGCUCCUGAUAUCUGAUACCUAUGUUUGCUCCUUAUUUUAUUAAUAAUUGAUCCAAUUUAUACAAAAAAUACGUAGGUUGAAGAAGUUAUCAAGAAAAAUGAUUGGGAUCUUUCAAUAUGCUAUUCUUGAUAUCAUGUUUUUUAUUCUUGAUCCUAUCAAGUAUGGAUUCUAGAUUGUUAGUUGGAGCAUCCUGACCAGUCUAGUUCAUUGUGAUAUGAUCCUGAGGGACUCUUCAAAUACAUGUACGAAGUCACACAGGUCUCCGACAUAACAAAUUGUAUCUGGAUUUGAGUCAGAGCAUUUCCUAUGAUUCCUAGCUCAGAAAUCUUUGCUUUAUUUACUAAAGAUUGGAGCACACAAGCGCACACGUAGUAAUCUGAUUGAGAAAAUGGAUAGUUGCUGCCAUCGAUAUUAAAGAGUCUGUCUAGUGCCAAAAAGGUCCUUCCAAGGCCCGAGCUAUCAAAUUCAUGUGAUACACACUUUGCUCUCUGCGGAUCACACUCAGCUUACUACAACUGAGGGUAGGAUUGGUUGCACAACGCAUGCUAUCCAUUUGUUAUUGGUGAUAGGAAGAUGGCUCAAUCAUUGAACUAGCAUUGAACAACCUACUUCAAAAAAACUUAGAGUUAACCAUCUAAAAAAGUAUAUGUGUUACUAAUAGUACACCAAUUUUUUUUGGAGUUUGCUUUCAGCUGAACAUGUUAUAACUACAAAUGAGGUGAGGCUUGAUUAGGUGGCUUUGCAAGAACUAGGGAGGAACACAAGUUAUGUACUUUAGGCUAAACAUAUGAAUUUAGAAGAUCAACUUUUCCAAUUGGACAUAUAUAUAUAUAUAUAUAUAUAUANNNNNNNNNNNNNNNNNNNNNNNNNNNNNNNNNNNNNNNNNNNNNNNNNNNNNNNNNNNNNNNNNNNNNNNNNNNNNNNNNNNNNNNNNNNNNNNNNNNNNNNNNNNNNNNNNNNNNNNNNNNNNNNNNNNNNNNNNNNNNNNNNNNNNNNNNNNNNNNNNNNNNNNNNNNNNNNNNNNNNNNNNNNNNNNNNNNNNNNNNNNNNNNNNNNNNNNNNNNNNNNNNNNNNNNNNNNNNNNNNNNNNNNNNNNNNNAAUAAUAUUUUCUCUAUGGUGAAGUAAUUUUAUUGAUAACCACUAAAUGAUUAAGUAGCGAUGUAUGCAAAGCUAGACAACGAACAUUUCAUAAUACACUUGUUCUGCAUAUCUUUAGGAUAAAAGAAAAAACUGCGAAAAAUUCGUUUUCCUAAAUAAAUAGAUCAAGAAAUCUAUUUUGUAUGGUUCUUAUUUUGUUGAAAACGUUUCCAUGAAACUUUCUUUCAUUGAAGAAGUCCAUGACUUGUUCUAGGUGAUAUGAGGUUGAACAGGCUUUAGAAAAAAUGCAAAGAAGGGUACAUGAGGGUGGAAUAAAAAUCAAAAGGAUGACCCCUUCUUUCUUCCUGAGCAUUACCGAUAAAUAUUCAUUCUUUAUACACUAUUGUAGUAGCUGAAAUGGCGGGUUCACCUGCUACAUUACAAUACCUCGCUCCUUAUACGGGAGCAGCCCUGGCUGAGUAUUUUAUGUACCGCGAACGGCAUACUUUAAUAAUUU
rnacentral:lncRNA from 1 species